rnacentral:rRNA from 1 species
GAUGAACGCUGGCGGCGUGCUUAACACAUGCAAGUCGAACGAAGCAUUUGCGACAGAUUUUUUCGGAAUGAAGUUGCUUAUGACUGAGUGGCGGACGGGUGAGUAACGCGUGGGUAACCUGCCUUGUACUGGGGGAUAGCAGCUGGAAACGGCUGGUAAUACCGCAUAAGCGCACAAUGUUGCAUGACAUGGUGUGAAAAACUCCGGUGGUAUAAGAUGGACCCGCGUCUGAUUAGCUAGUUGGUGAGAUAACAGCCCACCAAGGCGACGAUCAGUAGCCGACCUGAGAGGGUGACCGGCCACAUUGGGACUGAGACACGGCCCAGACUCCCACGGGAGGCAGCAGUGGGGAAUAUUGCACAAUGGAGGAAACUCUGAUGCAGCGACGCCGCGUGAGUGAAGAAGUAAUUCGUUAUGUAAAGCUCUAUCAGCAGGGAAGAUAGUGACGGUACCUGACUAAGAAGCUCCGGCUAAAUACGUGCCAGCCGCCGCCGUAA